GCCACUACAAGCCCGCCCUUUCCUACGUCUGGUCCAGUCGGUCUUCCUCCGGCCCGGGCCCUGGCCCAGCUAGCCGGCCAUGGAAGGUAAUGGCCCCGCUGCUGUCCACUACCAGCCGGCCAGCCCCCCGCGGGACGCCUGCGUCUACAGCAGCUGCUACUGUGAAGAAAAUAUUUGGAAGCUCUGUGAAUACAUCAAAAACCAUGACCAGUAUCCUUUAGAAGAAUGUUAUGCUGUCUUCAUAUCUAAUGAGAGGAAGAUGAUACCUAUCUGGAAACAACAGGCGAGACCUGGAGAUGGACCUGUGAUCUGGGUAAGACAGUUAAUACAGAGAGUAUUGA
rnacentral:lncRNA from 1 species